rnacentral:lncRNA from 1 species
CUCUAGCCAUGAGUAUCCAACUCCAAGUGGCCCAAAUCUAAUCAAAUCAAUUACAUAACGUAAAUAUAGCUACAAGCAACUAAUUUAGCUAAUGGAAUCAAAGCUAAGGCAAGAAAAUAGAAAACUCCCAAAAAGUCUCCCCGGGCCCACGUCUCGAAUUCGGGCAAAAGUCAUAAAAUAUGAAUACUCUUUCACUCACAAGUCCAACCAUACCACAAUUAGCCAAUUCCGAUCACAACUCGACCUUCAAAUUCCUAUUUUAUGGUUUAUGAAGUUUCUACAAAUUUUCCCCAAUUUCCAUCUCAAAGUAUGAAUUAAAUGAUGAAAUUCGUGAUAUAUUCAUGUAUAUUAACUAAAUCCGAGUCAAAAUAACUUACCUCGAUGAAUUUCUUGAAAAGCCCAUAAAAACUCAUCUCAAAACGAGUUCCCAAAAUCCAAAAAUGAAAUAAAACCCUGAAUCUCGGGUUUAUAUAGUGCCCUCUAAACCUCUACUGUGCGGUCCGCAUAAUUCCGUUGCGGCCGCACUCUGCCAAUCACUGCGGUCCGCACAAUUCUGCUACGGUCGCACUCCUCUCCUGCAGUCCGCACCAUUUUGGUGUUGUCCGCACUCCCAAGAGCAUCCGAUCCAUAUUAGAGUGCCGAACCUAUCAAAUCACAUCUGAUAGACCUCAAAUUUUACACACAAGUCAUAAUUAUCAUUACGAACCUAUUUCAACUUUCAGAAUCAGAUUCUGACUCCGAUAUCAAAAGUUCACUACCGGUCCAAAAAUUCUAAGACUUAAGCCUCCAAUUAGGUACUAAGUGUCCCAAAACACUCUAGAACUCUAAACGAAUCAUCCCGGCAAGUCACAAUAGCAGAAAAUAGAUACGGGGAAGCAGUUUAUAGGGGAUCGGGGCGUAAAUUGUCAAAACGACUAGCCGGGUCAUUACAUCCUCCCCCUCUUAAAACAUUCGUUCAUCCUCAAACGAGUAUAGAGACAUACCUGAAGUGGUGAAAAAAUGAGGAUAACGGCUGCACACAUCCUGCUCGAUCUCCCAAGUCACCUCCUCGAUCGGCUGACACCGCCACUGAACCUUUACUGAUGCAAUGUUCUAUGACCUCAGCUUUCGAACCUGUUUGUCCAAUAUAGCCACUAGCUCCUCAACAUAAGAUAAAUCCUUGUCCAAUUGGACUGAACUAAAAUCCAACAUGUGAGACAGAUCGCCGUGAUACCUCCGGAGCAUCGAAACAUGAAAUACCGGAUGAACUCCUGCCAAGUUGGGAAGUAAGGCAAGCUCAUAAACAACCUCCCCAACACGCCUCAACACCUCAAAGGGGCUAAUAAACCUUGCGCUCAACUUGCCCCUCUUUCCAAAUCUCAUAACACCCUUUAUAGGCGAAACCCGAAACAAGACCGGCUCUCUAACCAUAAAUGAAACAUCACGAACCUUCCGGUCUGCAUAACUUUUUUGUCUGGACUUUGCAAAGUCAAUCCUGAAUCACCUUAACCUUCUCCAAAGUGUCCUGAACCAUAUUUGUGCCCAAUAAUCUAGCCUCGCUCGGCUCGAACCAACCCACUGGGGACCUACACCGCCUACCAUACAGAGCCUCAUACGGUGCCAUCUAAAUGCUGGGUUGAUAACUGUUGUUGUAGGAAAAUUCCGCAAAUGGCAAGAACUGAUCCCAAGAAACUCUGAACUCCAUCACACACGCACGGAGCAUAUCCUCAAGAAUCUGAAUAGUGCACUCAGACUGUCUAUCCGUCUGGGGGAGAAAUGUUGUGCUCAACUCCACCUGAGUACCCAACUCAUGUUGUACGGCUCUCCAGAAUCGUGAUCUAAAUUGCAUGCCCCGGUUAGAGAUGAUAGAUACCAACACGCCAUGAAGUCUGACAAUCUCAUGGAUAUAAACUCGACCCAGCUGCUCGGAAAAGUAGGUAGUCAUUACCAGAAGGAAAUGAGCCGACUUGGUCAGCCUAUCUACAAUCACCCAAACUGCAUCAAACUUCUGCUGAGUCUAUGGGAGUCCAACAAUGAAAUCCAUAGUGAUCUGCUCCCAUUUCCACUCUGGAAUCUCUAAAUUCUGAAGCAAUCCACCUGGUCGUCGAUGCUCAUACUUCACCUGCUGGCAAUUUAAACACCGAGCAACAUACUCUAUGAUGUCCUUCUUUAUUCUACGCCACUAAUAAUGUUGUCUCAAGUCCUGAUACAUCUUUGCGGCACCCCGAUAAAUAAAGUACCAUGAGCUGUGAGCCUCCUGAAGAAUCAACUCACGCAAACCAUCAACAUUAGGCACACAUAGCCUGCCCUGCAUCCUCAAUGCACCAUCAUCCCCAAUGGUAAACUCCUUAGCAAUCACCGUGCUGAACUGUGACCCCAAGGACAAGCAGAUGGGGUCAUCAUACGGACGCUCCCUGAUAUGAUCAUAAAGAGAAGACCGAGAGACCAUACAAGCCAAUACUCGAAUAGACUCAAAAAUAUCCAAUCUCAUAAACUGGAUAGCUAAGGCCUGAACAUCCAAUGCCAUGGGCCACUCUGUUGUAGGUAGAUAAGCCAAAUUCCCCAAACUCUCUACCCGGCAACUCAAAGCAUCAGCCACCAUAUUGGCCUUCCCCAAAUGGUACAAAAUAGUGAUAUCAUAAUCCUUAAGUAGCUCUAACCACCUUCUCUAAUGCAAAUUAAGAUCCUUCUGCUUGAACAGAUGCUGCAAACUCCGAUGAUCAGUGUAGAUCUCACAAGGGACACCGUACAAAUAGUGCCUCUAAACCUUCAAGGCAUGAACAAUAGCGGCUAACUCAAGGUCGUGGACAGGAUAGUUCUUUUCGUGCACCUUCAAUUGUCUGGACGCGUAGGAAAUCACCCUAUGGUCCUGCAUCAAUAUCGUGCCAAGGCCAACUUGCGACGCAUCACAAUAGACUGUAUAAGACCCUAACCUGUAGGCAAUAUCAAUACUGCGACUGUAGUUAAAGUUGUCUUGAGCUUUUGAAAGCUCUCCUCACACUCUUCCAUCCACUUGAACGGAGCACCCUUCUGGGUCAGCCUGGUCAUAGGUGUUGUAAUAGAUGAGAAUCCCUCAACAAACCGACAGUAAUAACACGCCAAACCAAGAAAACUCCAGAUCUAUGUAGCUGAGGAUGGUCUAGGCCAGCUCUGCACUGCUUCCACCUUCUUCAGAUCCACCUUAAUCCCUUCACUCGACACUACGUGACCCAAGAAUGCCACGAAAUCCAACCAAAACUCACAUUUUGAGAACUUUGCAAAUAAUUUCUUUUCUCUCAAGGUCUGAAUCACUGUCCUCAGGUGCUGCUCAUGAUCUUCUCGACUCUGGGAGUACACCAGAAUGUCAUCAAUAAAGACAAUGACGAACGAGUCAAUAUAUGGUCGGAAUGCACUGUACAUCAAGUGCAUAAAUGUUGAUGUGGCGUUGGUUAGCCCAAAUGACAUAACAAGGAACUUAUAAUGACCAUACCGAGUCCUAAAAGCUGUCUUCAGGAUAUCUGGCUCCCGAAUCUUCAACUGAUGAUGACCUGAACGCAAAGCAAUCUAGGAAAACACUCGAUCACCCUGUAACUAAUCAAAUAGGUCAUUAAUACGAGGAAAAGGAUACCGGUUCUUCACUGUAACUUUGUUGAACUAGCGAUAAUCAAUGCACAUACGCAUAGAACCAUCCUUUUUCUUCACAAACAAGACAUGAGCACCCUAAGGUGACACAAUGGACGAAUAAAGCCCUUAUCAAGCAUCUCCUGUAACUGUUCCUUCAACUCUUUCAACUCAGGAGAAUCCAUACGAUAAGGAGGAAUAGAGAUGGGCUGAGUGUUUGGUAAUAAAUCAAUGUUAAAAUCAAUAUCUCUGUUGGGCGGCAUGCCCGGAAGAUCAACCGGAAACACAUCAGGAAAAUCACGCACCACUGGGGCUGAAUCAAUUGUAGGAGUAUCAAUACUGACAUCUCUCACAUAAGUUAGAUACGCGUCACACCCCUUUUCAACCAUUUGCUGAGCUUUAAGAAAUGAAAUAACUCUACUGGGAGUGUAAUCUAAAGUACCCCUCCACUCUAAUCGGGGUAAACCUGACAUAGCCGGCAUCACGGUCUUGGCAUGACAAUCAAGAAUAGCAUAAUGGGGCGACAACUUGUCCAUGCCCAAGAUAACGUCAAAAUAUACCAUGCUGAGCAAUAAUAAAUCGGCUCUGGUCUCAAAAUCCCUAAGAGCAAUCAAACAUGACCGAUAAACGUGGUCCACAACAAGAGAAUCUCCCACAGAAGUAGACACAUAAAUAGGGGAACUCAAAGAAUCCUGAGAUACGUCCAAAUAUAGGGCAAAAUAAAAGGACACAUAGGAAUAAGUGGAGCCUGGAUCGAAUAGAACUGAAGCAUUUCUAUGACGGAUCGGAACAAUACCUAUAAUGACAGAAUCGGUAGCAACAACCUCUGUACGGGCAGGAAGGGCAUAGUAUUUGGCCUGGCUUGGCCUCCCCCUCUAGGGCGACCUCUACCUCCCCGACCUCCACCUUUAGCUGGCUGAGCAGGUGUGGUGGCAGCAGGUAUUGUGAUUGUCACACCUCCUUUUUCUACCUCGAAAGGGUUAUAAGGGAGUUUUUUCCAAUGUAAGUGACAAUCGAAAUGGGAUUAUUUAUAUUAAAUUUAGAGUCGCCACUUGGGAUAAUUUAUGGUAUCCCAAGUCACCGGUUUAAAAUUCCGAAUCGAGGAAGUUUGACUCUAUUUACGGUCUGCGAAUGCAGAAAUCCAGGUAAGAAAUUAUGUUAACCCGGGAGAAUGUGUUAGGCAUUCCCGGGUUCCAUGGUUUUAGCACGGUCUCUUUGAUCAUACUUGGCUUAAUCAAAUUGUCUAAUUACUCAUUUUUAGAACCUAUGUGCAUUUGCCUCUUUUAAUUAAGAAAUUAUCUUAAAACAGGUCACGCGUACGUGUACCCAUUUGUUUGGCAUGUUAAAAAUCAUGUCACGCGAACAUGUCCACAAUUAGUAAUGUUUUAUUAUUAUUAAGAAAGUUUAGUCAAAGUUGCACGAACGUAUACUCCAAUUUGUUUUUAGGACUGUAAUUAUGUCACGUGAACAUGUACUCGAUCAUGAUCAUAUAUGCUAGUUAUUCACACUUAGAAAUGUUUAACACUGACUACUUUAUCUGUUGAGCUAUUUUGAUAUCCAUUAAUUGUAAAAGAUGGUCUAACUUACAACUUGUUACCCUAAUGGUUUGUUGUUAAAGUUAUUAAUCUAGUUUCUCGCAAAUUUCAGCAAAACCAAACCUUAAACUCACUUAAAACCCCAAUUAAAAUAUAAAAAACAGAAGGGUUCGAACUACAAAGACGAUACGUAUCCAUAAGAGAUUCGAAAAUAGAAUUUGGCGUAACACCCAUGUCAGAUAAAUGCCUCAAAAUUGACUUAACAUUGUCAUGGAAUCAAAUAAUUACACAAAAUUGACUAACACAGUCAAUAAAUGAAACAAGCGAUGAAUAGGAGAAAAAGAGUGACCUGAAUUACUUUCAAUUUUUCAAAGAAACAUGCUGCCUGUUUACAAAGAAACUCAUGCCGAUGAAGCUAGACACGGACAAACCCGACCGGAAACCUCAACGAAACAACCUCGGACUUCAACAGUAUCUCAAUCACGAUUUCAAAACAAAUUGAAUGGACAAUAUCUGAAAUAAGCCAAGCGAAGCUUGAAACCAGAUGCAAGUUCCUCUCAUGCUCACAAAGCUCAACUAGUUUGCUGCUAUCCCUUUCUCGUUUAUGUACAUGUGUGUGGCUGUGUGUGAGUAUUUUUUGACGAGCUAUGGUAAAGAGAAGGAAGAGUAGCGAUGGGUGUUAGAGAAUGGUCGAGAUUCGGCCGGCUGCUUAAGGUCGUUCGCAUUUUUUCGGCGAGCUGGUGAGAUUGAGUGAAAAAGAAAGUCCAUUACUGUUGUUAGGGUCAUCAGCGUGGUGGUCACUGGUUAAUGUUGCUGAAGCUUAGGGGUGUUCAUGGAGUUCUGCUGUUGUCCCUUAUUUGUGAAGAAGAUAAUGAGGGUUUUUUGUUUGUUUGCUGCUCAAGAUCGGGUCUCGAGAAGAUGAAGCUCAACGGUUGCUUAUGGUUUGUAGAGGAAGCAGAAGCAACGCUGGAGGAAGUCAUGUGUUUAUGGCUACUGCAGCUGAAAGGUCUUAUUUUUUAUUAGGGUUCUUUAGUGUUCUCCAUGAAGAAGAUGAAGCUAGGGUAACGGCGUCUUAGAUUGUAUAGGUCUGAUGCUUCAAGGGUCUCUUUUUAUUCAAAACGGCAGAUAGAUUUUCAGUCUUUAGGUUCUAACACUGAAAAAGGAGAUGCAAUGCUGGGGGUGCCUAUUGUGUAUUGCGACGGAUCUGAUCUUA